AAUAAAGUGGCUGAAUUAUAAGCGAUAAAUUGUAAAUUUAUUUAUGAAAUAAAAUUUCCUUUAUUA
rnacentral:tRNA from 1 species